UCCAGAUUGUGAAAGCCCUCGGGCUCAACCUGGGAAUUGCAUCCUGAUACUGUCGAGCUAGAGUAGCAGUAGAGGAUAGGUGAGAAUUUCCGGUGUAGCGGUGAAAUGCGUAGAGAUCGAGAGGAACUACCAGUGGCGAAGGCGACUUUCUGGACUGAUCACUGACACUGAGGUGCGAAAGCGUGGGUAGCAAACAGGAUUAGAUACACUGGUAGUCCACGCCGUAAACGAUGUCAACUAGCCGUUGGGGGACUAGAUCCCUUUGUGGCGACAGCUAACGCGAUAAGUCGACCGCCUGGGGAGUACGGCCGCAAGGUUAAAACUCAAAUGAAUUGACGGGGGCCCGCACAAGCGGUGGAGCAUGUGGUUUAAUUCGAUGCAACGCGAAGAACCUUACCUACUCUUGACAUCCAGAGAACUUUCCAGAGAUGGAUUGGUGCCUUCGGGAACUCUGAGACAGGUGCUGCAUGGCUGUCGUCAGCUCGUGUUGUGAAAUGUUGGGUUAAGUCCCGUAACGAGCGCAACCCCUGUCCUUAUUUGCCAGCGAGUAAUGUCGGGAACUCUAAGGAGACUGCCGGUGACAAACCGGAGGAAGGUGGGGAUGACGUCAAGUCAUCAUGGCCCUUACGGGUAGGGCUACACACGUGCUACAAUGGCCGGUACAGUGGGUUGCAAACCCGCGAAGGCAAGCUAAUCUCAGAAAGCCGGUCGCAGUCCGGAUCGCAGUCUGCAACUCGACUGCGUGAAGUCGGAAUCGCUAGUAAUCGUGAAUCAGAAUGUCGCGGUGAAUACGUUCCCGGGCCUUGUACACACCGCCCGUCACACCAUGGGAGUGGGUUGCACCAGAAGUGGUUAGUCUAACCU
rnacentral:rRNA from 1 species